rnacentral:lncRNA from 1 species
CCCCCUCACUCACACAAAAGUGUUACUGUCAAAUUCAACACAACAAAAGCAAUAUAUUUGGGCUACACUGCAGGUUAUUACAUCGCAAACUUUCUGCCUGUGGACAUCUGUUCUACAAUGUGCCAGCAGAGCAUGAUACCCUUUGUUGGCAUAAUUGAUCUCUUUCAGGCAGAGAACACACCUGGUAUACCUCUUUUUAUCCACUGUAUUGAAGAAGUGAGAAUGAGGGAAAGUGUGUGUUGUUCCUUUCACCUCUAUACUGGCAUCCAGUUUAAGCCAGGACCAGCUCCAGCUACACUUGAUCCCUGAAUCCCCUUGUUUAACAAGAAACGCCUCAUUUUCACCUAAUUAUCUUAUUCUGAAAAUUAACCACAUACUGUAGAGGGAAAACACGAGUUCACAGAUAGUAGUUCGUUUGUUAACGAGUUAACAUUUCACACAGAUUGCCAGGGUCCAGUAAGCAACUAAGCGUUAUAACUUGAGGAACUGGAAGGAGUUGUACCAGUACUAUUGGUUAGGUUACUAACGUUAGCUCAUCUGAUGUUGUAACGUUAGCUAGCUAGUUAUCUGACUUUGUUAGCCAGCUAAUUUUCAAACAAUAAACUCAAUUAUUUGAUCAGUUAAGUUGGCUAAUGUUGCUCAACAUUUCUCCGGCUAGUUAACAGAGAAAUUCGAUCCAGCUACUAUAGCAAUAUACUUUAACAACGCUAACAAUACUUGUUCCAUCACACUUUCUACCUCACCUCAAACUUUCCAAAUGCCAGUUGUUUUUCGGUUACAGGUACUCUCCUCACCCCGGUCUCCGUGGUAAAUGCCAGUUGUUUUUCGGUUACAGGUACUCUCCUCACCCCGGUCUCCGUGGUAAAUGGCAGUUAUUUUUCGGUUACAGCAUACUCUCCUCACCCCGCUCUCCGUGGCAAAUGCCAGUUGUUUUUCGGUUACAGGUACUCUCCUCAUCCCGGUGUCCUGUGGCAAAUGCCAGUUGUUUUUCGGUUACAGGUACUCUCCUCACCCCGGUCUCCGUGGUCAGGCUUCUCACCUACCUCUCCGUUAACGUUCAGGGCGACGCGCUGCUGUAAAUUAACGGCCCAACUGCCUUUCCAUUCUCCCACUCUUUCCGGAGCGCGC